rnacentral:pre_miRNA from 11 species
UCCUUUGGGGUGAGGUAGUAGGUUGUAUAGUUUUAGGGUUCUGCCCUGCCUGUCACAUAACUAUACAAUCUACUGUCUUUCCUGAAGUGGCU